rnacentral:lncRNA from 1 species
CCCUUGGCCCCGCGGCAGCCGCACCCACCGAGGCCCCGCCCUGCCCGCGGGGCUCCCCCCUGUUGCCGGGUAACCGGCCGGGCCGCUCUCCCAGGCUCCGGGCUCACAGCGUGGGGGGGCUUCUAGGCUGGUGCCGCGGGUGCCGCUUGGUGACUCUGUAGCGGGGCGGGGAUGCUGCUGCCCGGGGCCGCAUCCCGCUGCCGCCAGGGCUCCUCUUUCUCCUGCUGCAGCCGCCGGGCACCUCCCAGCCCCCUCCCGCCGCAGCCGCCCGGGAGCUGAGCCCCGAAGCUAGCGGCACCAUGAGCAGGAACCAGCCCCGCUGGGGGCACCGGGAAUCAUAUGUAAAAAACAUUAAAUACCCAGAGUCAUCAUUCCUCUCUGAAUGCAGAUCGCUUUCAUCUCAGGCAUCAAAAGAACAAAAAAUGCCAAGUCUAAUGUCUGACCACAAAUAUCUGAAUAAUAAAGCCUCAGGAAGAUCAUUGGGAUGUUUUCCCUUUGAAAGUAACUGGAGGAGCGCAUUGUUAAAGACAGAAAGGAUAAAAAAAGAAUACUCUUCAACCUUUGACUUGAGAGACUGCGAGGAGAGUGCUGCAGUACCAAACCUUACUCAAGGAGUCCAGAGCUAUCAAGAAAACCCAUCUCCUAUUCUGCAGAUGAAAAAAGGAUUUGCAUAUGGUGCUGCUAAACCAUUUCCAACUGGUUCUUAUAGUGAAGAUGAGCAUAAUUGUGUGCCAACUUCAUACAUACUUCCACAGACCUCAUCACAGUACUUAGGAUACGAGUUUUGCAAAAAUAGGGGAGACAUAACUGUGGUGGAUCUGCAGAAGAGAGGACUAGAUUCUUGGAACCCAAGUCCACUGAAGAUGCCAGCCAUUCAUGAUGGAGGUGGAGAGAUAGGAGCUUUGAGAUCCAAGAAGAAUAACCACAUUUCCAGCAUAUGUUCACUUCCAGCGGGACCCAGAUACAAGUUUGGUCAUCACCAUUUCACAGAUCCUUUUGCUGGAGCUCCACCUGAAUACGUACAGAGACUCUCUGAAAUAAAAUCAUUUCAGUGUGAAACUAUACGUCAAGAGAAAAACAAAAAAUUGAAAAGGGGCAAGAAAGAAGAAACAUGGACAAGCUGAUGGGCAAGAAACAAGCUCUUGUGUACACUAUUUUGUGAGCUUAGAUUGUUUUG